GGGGGACACCGCUAAGGCAGAGCAGCCUUCUCCUCAGCACAGACCUUUGGGGCACUGCCUCGCUUUGGGACAACUCGGGACCGCAUAGACGGGAUCAUGGCACAAGUUGCAGUUUCCACCCUGCCAAUGGAAGAUGAGGAGUCCAUGGAAGAUGAGGAGUCCAUUGAAGAUGAGGAGUCUGUUGAAGAUGAUUCCGUGGAGAGCAGGAUGGUGGUAACAUUUCUCAUAUCAGCUCUCGAGUCCACGGAUCAUGGCACAAGUUGCAGUUUCCACCCUGCCCAUUGAAGAUGAGGAGUCUGUUGAAGAUGAGGAGUCCUUGGAGAGCAGGAUGGUGGUGACAUUCCUGUC
rnacentral:lncRNA from 1 species